ensembl:lncRNA
GUUUUAUUUACCCAGCCAAGUGCCUAAUGCAGAGUACCUAGUAAACGUUUGCCAUCUGAAUGACCACGUGGCUGGGCGCGCCCCAUCCACCAUCGAGGUGCUGGAGGGUUUGUGGAGCCAAGCCCCACCUGGGAGGCACGUACGUCUGUCUUUUCCAAUUUUUCUCAGUUAUGGCUUUGCCCUGAAUAUUCUUUGUUCAUAAAUCCUUGGCUGCAUCUCUUGAUUAUUUCCUUAGGAUAUUUUCCUCGAUGUGGGAUUACUGUGAAGGGUAUGCACACAUUUAAGGCUCUAGAUUCAGAAUCCCUCCAGCCGUGCAAGAAUGAGUCAGCUUCCCAGCGAGCUGGUGUGCGGUAGACGACCAGUGAAAUUAGGCACCUUCUGCCCCGAGAGGGGAAACCUAAGGGCAACCAUUGUUUGGAGCAAUUUGACCUGAAGAUGUAAACAUCUGAGCCUUCCUAGAGAGGCUCCCCCUGGGCCAGGGAGGGGAGCUCUGAUUUAUGCCUUUCCCUCUGCUACUUUCAUUUCCUGAUGAGUUAAUAUUUUAAAACUAAUGAAAAACCAAUAUAUGUGUCUUUAAGGACAGCAAGAGAAGGUAGAAGUGGGGAAACUAUUUUAAGUUAAAGUCCUGGAGAAAGGGGAGGGGUGAGUGGUGAACUGUGAAACGUUUCCAGAAGAUGAGAGGAGGUGGAGUAGGAAAAGAUUGAAGGGUUAGGGGACCACUGUUUUACUGGUUUCUAAUCUGACUCUCCCAUCUGCUGUUCUGGGCAAUACAGUAGAAACAGCUGCUCAAAUGCACAAGGAAUGGAUGUGCCUGAACCUGCCUCUGACUCCCAGGUG